GCGGCCGUGGCGGAAUUGGCAGACGCACAGGCUUCAGGUGCCUGCGCCCGCAAGGGCAUAGAGGUUCAACUCCUCUCGGCCGCA
rnacentral:tRNA from 1 species